rnacentral:sRNA from 1 species
AACAAGAGCCAUGGCACAGACGGCUAUCAAGGCAAUGCACCAAGCACAGACCAUGGAGGGUUGCUCAUCACCCAUGGUGGUAAAAUUUGCUGAUACACAGAAGGACAAAGAACAGAAGAGAAUGGCCCAGCAGCUCCAGCAGCAGAUGCAGCAAAUCAGCGCAGCAUCUGUGUGGGGAAACCUUGCUGGUCUAAAUACUCUUGGACCCCAGUAUUUAGCAGUGAGUCUUUGUGGUUUGCUUUCUGCAGACUGUGCAAGUUCCCAGCUGUUUCUUCUUCUGCUGUCCCUAGCUAACAAAUACAGUGGCAUUUACAACUUUUGGCAUAUAGAAAUUAUAUGUGAAAAUUCAGGUAGUAUAGUCCUGUUAGUCUCUUUCUCUCUCUCUCUAUAUAUAUGUAUCUCUGGACAUGUAUCUCUGGUUGUAUCUUGAGGCUUUUGCUGCAACUAAAGUGAAUUCCUGGUUUCCC